GGCCCGUUAGCACAGUUGGUUAGAGCGUCGUGCUAAUAACGCGAAGGUCGUGGGUUCGAUCCCCCCACGGGCCA
rnacentral:tRNA from 1 species